GGGGAAUAUUGCACAAUGGGCGAAAGCCUGAUGCAGCAACGCCGCGUGAGUGAUGAAGGCCUUCGGGUUGUAAAGCUCUGUCUUCUGGGACGAUAAUGACGGUACCAGAGGAGGAAGCCACGGCUAACUACGUGCCAGCAGCCGCGGUACUACGUAGGUGGCAAGCGUUGUCCGGAUUUACUGGGCGUAAAGGAUGCGUAGGCGGAUACUUAAGUCAGAUGUGAAAAUCCCGGGCUUAACUUGGGAACUGCAUUUGAAACUGGGUAUCUAGAGUGCGGGAGAGGAAAGUGGAAUUCCUAGUGUAGCGGUGAAAUGCGUAGAGAUUAGGAAGAACACCAGUGGCUAAGGCGACUUUCUGGACCGUAACUGACGCUGAGGCAUGAAAGCGUGGGGAGCAAACA
rnacentral:rRNA from 1 species